rnacentral:misc_RNA from 1 species
GCCCAUUCAAACGCCAAGUUGGCCUUGGAUUAGAUGACUUGAACAUUCUAUAAUUCUUAUGGUACACCAAUAAAUAUCACUUAAGAUAUAAUCAUAAUAAUAAUAUAAAAUAAGUCUCACAAAAAAAGCUGCAUAAUCAUAACCAUGCUAUUGUACUUGUAGCUAGCCCAAUCUUCUUCUAUAUAAUUGGGACCUAACAUUACUAGCUAAUACACCACUUGAGACAACAAGUGUUGAUUAAUUAAUUAAUACUACUAGAUUUGACAGAAGUUGGGUGUCUGCAGUCACAUUUUAAUACAAUAUGGAUGAUCAUGGGCACUUUGGGCCACCUCUUUUGGUCUUCCAGUUAUUGUAGCAAGGGCAACUUUGCUUAUUGCCAUAGGUACCAGCAGGAACACACAAACACUUUGCACAGCAUUUCUGGCAGAAAAACAUACACGGCUUCUUAUACGAUGUCUUUGAACACCGGUACGUGCAUUUUGGUUGACAAUCUUGAGGAUGGAGUCUUCCCUCACUAACACCAUACAGUUGGUUAUUUCUCUGUUGUUGCUGCUGCUCAUCACGCAUAAUGUUGGCCCUUGAAACCUGAUUUUGAGUCAGGAAAACCACCAAAAGAACAAACAAGACAAUGCUCAUUUUCCCAGCCAUUGUAGUAAUUUUGUGUGAAGCUAAGAGAGGAAGUGA